UGGGGAAUAUUGGACAAUGGGCGCAAGCCUGAUCCAGCCAUGCCGCGUGGGUGAUGAAGGCCCUAGGGUUGUAAAGCCCUUUCUGUGGGGACGCCGUGCUAACACCAUGGGUCCAUGACGGUACCCGCAGAAGAAGCACUGGCUAACUAC
rnacentral:rRNA from 1 species